AGAGUGAACGCUGGCGGUAGGCCUAACACAUGCAAGUCGAACGGCAGCACGGUAAGAGCUUGCUCUUAUGGGUGGCGAGUGGCGGACGGGUGAGGAAUACAUCGGAAUCUACCUUUUGGUGGGGGAUAACGUAGGGAAACUUACGCUAAUACCGCAUACGCCCUUCGGGGGAAAGCCGGGGACCAGCAAUGGCCUGGCGCUGAUAGAUGAGCCGAUGUCGGAUUAGCUAGUUGGUGAGGUAAUGGCUCACCAAGGCGACGAUCCGUAGCUGGUCUGAGAGGAUGAUCAGCCACACUGGAACUGACGACACGGUCCCAGACCGUCCGUAACGGGAGGCAGCGUAGGUAGGGGAAUAGUUGGACUAAGUGGGCGACAAGCCUGACUCCAGCCCUAGUACCGGACGUGGGUAGAAGG
rnacentral:rRNA from 1 species